GGACCGUGUAUAAGUCUCCUGGGAUGGGGCGUCAUAGAGGGUGAGAAUCCCGUCUUUGACACGGACUACCAGUGCAUUGUGGUAUGCUCUCAAAGAGUCGAGUUGUUUGGGAAUGCAGCUCAAAAUGGGUGGUAAAUUCCAUCUAAAGCUAAAUAUUGGCGAGAGACCGAUAGCGAACAAGUACCGUGAGGGAAAGAUGAAAAGAACUUUGGAAAGAGAGUUAAACAGUACGUGAAAUUGCUGAAAGGGAAACGCUUGAAGUCAGUCGCGUUGGCCGGGAAUCAGCCUUGCUUUUGCAUGGUGUACUUUCUGGUUGACGGGUCAGCAUCAAUUUUGACCGCUGGAAAAAGACCUGGGGAAUGUGGCAGCUUCGGCUGUGUUAUAGCCCCUAGUCGCAUACAGUGGUUGGGAUUGAGGAACUCAGCACGCCGCAAGGCCGGGUUUCGACCACGUUCGUGCUUAGGAUGCUGGCAUAAUGGCUUUAAGCGACCCGUCUUGAAACACGGACCAAGGAGUCUAACAUGCCUGCGAGUAUUUGGGUGGAAAACCCAAGUGCGUAAUGAAAGUGAAAGUUGAGAUCCCUGUCGUGGGGAGCAUCGACGCCCGGACCAGAACUUUUGGGACGGAUCCGCGGUGGAGCAUGUAUGUUGGGACCCGAAAGAUGGUGAACUAUGCCUGAAUAGGGUGAAGCCAGAGGAAACUCUGGUGGAGGCUCGUAGCGAUUCUGACGUGCAAAUCGAUCGU
rnacentral:rRNA from 1 species